ACGGAAGGCAGCAGUGGGGGAUAUUGCACAAUGGGCGAAAGCCUGAUGCAGCGACGCCGCGUGAGGGAAGACGGUUUUCGGAUUGUAAACCUCUGUCAACAGGGACGAUAAUGACUGUACCUGUGAAGGAAGCUCCGGCUAACUACGUGCCAGCAGCCGCGGUAAUACGUAGGGAGCAAGCGUUAUCCGGAAUUACUGGGUGUAAAGGGAGUGUAGGCGGGACUGUAAGUCAGAUGUGAAAUAUGCCGGCUCAACUGGCAGACUGCAUUUGAAACUGCGGUUCUUGAGUGAAGUAGAGGUAAGCGGAAUUCCUAGUGUAGCGGUGAAAUGCGUAGAUAUUAGGAGGAACAUCAGUGGCGAAGGCGGCUUACUGAGCUUUAACUGACGCUGAGGCUCGAAAGCGUGGGGAGCAAACAGGAUUAGAUACCCUGGUA
rnacentral:rRNA from 1 species